rnacentral:tRNA from 1 species
GCAGCUGUGGCAUACUGGUUAGGGCUUUGGACUUGUAAUCGGAGGGUUGCCGGUUCGAACCCCGACCAGUAGGA